rnacentral:rRNA from 1 species
AGUGAACGCUGGCGGUAGGCCUAACACAUGCAAGUCGAACGGCAGCACAGUAAGAGCUCGCUCUUACGGGUGGCGAGUGGCGGACGGGUGAGGCAUACAUCGGAAUCUACUUUUUCGUGGGGGAUAACGUAGGGAAACUUACGCUAAUACCGCAUACGACCUACGGGUGAAAGCAGGGGAUCUUCGGACCUUGCGCGUUUGAAUGAGCCGAUGUCGGAUUAGCUAGUUGGCGGGGUAAAGGCCCACCAAGGCGACGAACCGUAGCUGGUCUGAGAGGAUGAUCAGCCACACUGGAACUGAGACACGGUCCAGACUCCUACGGGAGGCAGCAGUGGGGAAUAUUGGACAAUGGGCGCAAGCCUGAUCCAGCCAUACCGCGUGGGUGAAGAAGGCCUUCGGGUUGUAAAGCCCUUUUGUUGGGAAAGAAAAGCAGCAGGUUAAUACCCCGCUGUUCUGACGGUACCCAAAGAAUAAGCACCGGCUAACUUCGUG